rnacentral:rRNA from 1 species
UGGGGAAUUUUGCACAAUGGGGGAAACCCUGAUGCAGCGACGCCGCGUGAUUUAGAAGGCCUUCGGGUUGUAAAAAUCUUUUCUAUGGGAAGAAAAUGACAGUACCAUAGGAAUAAGGACCGGCUAAUUACGUGCCAGCAGCCGCGGUAAUACGUAAGGUCCGAGCGUUGUCCGGAAUCAUUGGGCGUAAAGGGUACGUAGGCGGGUAAGCAAGUUAGAAGUGAAAUCCUGUAGCUCAACUACAGUAAGCUUUUAAAACUGCUCAUCUUGAGAUAUGGAAGGGAAAGUGGAAUUCCUAGUGUAGCGGUGAAAUGCGCAGAUAUUAAAAAGAAUACCGGUGGCGAAGGCGACUUACUGGGCUCAUUCUGACGCUGAGGAACGAAAGCGUGGGUAGCAAACAGG